GUAGUAGUUUGCUGUUGGUGUAUUCUGGGUAGUUUGCUGCUGUUGGUGUAUUCUGGGUAGUAGUCUGCUGUUGGUGUAUUCUGGGUUUUGUUGCCUACGGUAGAGAUUGGCUGGGUCUAGUUUUCAAAAAGUUUGUGAAGAGAAAAUGAAAUAGGUGAGUAGACCAUCUGUCGUUUUGGUUUUCAGACCCAGUUUAUUCCAGUUGAAACAAAUGUAUUUAAGUUGGGGCUGUGGUUUGGAUGAGGAUAUGGUCUGCUAUACUUCCACAAGCCUAGCUAGGGGUUUAUUAAUCCCUUAAUGACCAGUCUGUUGACUUACACAACAAUAAGGAACUAGACAGAGGAAACUGGGAAGGGUAAAUUACACAUGACUGGAUGUUAGUUAACAAAGACUCUUGAUCAGAGUGCCAUUCAUAUGUUAAAACUACUGAAUGAAAGAAUGUAUCAACUUCUCUCUCUCUGUCUCUCUGUCUCUCUGUCUCUCUGUCUCUCUGUCUCUCUGUCUCUCUGUCUCUCUGUCUCUCUCUUCCUUCCACCCUGUUCUCAAUGGGACUAAUAAGUCAUAGUCACUUUAAAGAGUAUUGUUAAUGUCUGCACUGUCUCUGUUCCAGUUACAUUAGUGUUAUUUUUCUAAGUGACUUAUAGUCAAAUAGAUUGUGGUUUCAGAGUGGGCACUAAGUGAGUGAAUUAUUAAAAGAUUGGUCAAGCCACUGCUGGAAUGGAGAGAGAAAAUAAGGGAUGGUGAGAUUGUGGGGACAGGGGGGAAAGUGGGGGACAGGGGGGACAGGGGGGAAAGAGGGGGACAAGGGGGAAAUAAGGGGACAGGCAGGAAAGCUUCCAACCAGUCUUUUUGUUUGGAAGCUUUACUGUGGUCAUACUGUCUGGGUUCACGUUGUAUCACUGUGGUCAUACUGUCUGGGUUCAUGUUGUAUCACUGGUCAUACUGUCUGGGUUCAUGGUGUAUCACUGGUCAUACUGUCUGGGUUCAUGUUGUAUCACUGGUCAUACUGUCUGGGUUCAUGUUGUAUCACUGGUCAUACUGUCUGGGUUCAUGGUGUAUCACUGGUCAUACUGUCUGGGUUCAUGUUGUAUCACUGGUCAUACUGUCUGGGUUCAUGUUGUAUCACUGUGGUCAUACUGUCUGGGUUCAUGUUGUAUCACUGUGGUCAUACUGUCUGGGUUCAUGUUGUAUCACUGUGGUCAUACUGUCUGGGUUCAUGUUGUAUCACUGGUCAUACUGUCUGGGUUCAUGUUGUAUCACUGUGGUCAUACUGUCUGGGUUCAUGGUGUAUCACUGGUCAUACUGUCUGGGUUCAUGUUGUAUCACUGUGGUCAUACUGUCUGGGUUCAUGUUGUAUCACUGUGGUCAUACUGUCUGGGUUCAUGGUGUAUCACUGUGGUCAUACUGUCUGGGUUCAUGUUGUAUCACUGUGGUCAUACUGUCUGGGUUCAUGGUGUAUCACUGUGGUCAUACUGUCUGGGUUCAUGUUGUAUCACUGGUCAUACUGUCUGGGUUCAUGGUGUAUCACUGUGGUCACACUGUCUGGGUUCAUGUUGUAUCACUGUGGUCACACUGUCUGGGUUCAUGUUGUAUCACUGUGGUCACACUGUCUGGGUUCAUGUUGUAUCACUGUGGUCAUACUGUCUGGGUUCAUGUUGUAUCACUGUGGUCAUACUGUCUGGGUUCAUGGUGUAUCACUGUGGUCAUACUGUCUGGGUUCAUGGUGUAUCACUGUGGUCAUACUGUCUGGGUUCAUGUUGUAUCACUGUGGUCAUACUGUCUGGGUUCAUGGUGUAUCACUGUGGUCAUACUGUCUGGGUUCAUGUUGUAUCACUGGUCAUACUGUCUGGGUUCAUGGUGUAUCACUGUGGUCAUACUGUCUGGGUUCAUGUUGUAUCACUGUGGUCAUACUGUCUGGGUUCAUGGUGUAUCACUGUGGUCAUACUGUCUGGGUUCAUGGUGUAUCACUGUGGUCAUACUGUCUGGGUUCAUGUUGUAUCACUGUGGUCAUACUGUCUGGGUUCAUGGUGUAUCACACUCACUAG
rnacentral:lncRNA from 1 species